UGCCUACGGGACGCAGCAGUAGGGAAUUUUCGUCAAUGGGCGCAAGCCUGAACGAGCAAUGCCGCGUGAACGAGGAAGGUCUUCGGAUCGUAAAGUUCUGUUGAAGGGGAAAAAGAGCGGAGAGAGGAAAUGGUCUCCGAUUGAUAUUACCCUUCGAGGAAGUCACGGCUAACUACGUGCCAGCAGCCGCGGUAAUACGGAGGAUGCGAGCGUUAUCCGGAUUUACUGGGUUUAAAGGGUGCGCAGGCGGAUUUUUAAGUCAGCGGUCAAAUCGUGGGGCUCAACCCCAUCCAGCCGUUGAAACU
rnacentral:rRNA from 1 species